rnacentral:rRNA from 1 species
CGAAGGGGGCUAGCGUUGCUCGGAAUCACUGGGCGUAAAGCGCACGUAGGCGGCUUUUUAAGUCAGGGGUGAAAUCCUGGAGCUCAACUCCAGAACUGCCUUUGAUACUGGGAAGCUUGAGUCCGGGAGAGGUGAGUGGAACUCCGAGUGUAGAGGUGAAAUGCGUAGAUAUCCGGAGGAACACCAAUAGCGAAGGCAGCUCGCUGGGACGGUACUGACGCUAAGGCGCGAAAGCGUGGGGAGCGAACAGG